rnacentral:rRNA from 1 species
AGCGUGGAGACAGGUGGUGCAUGGCUGUCGUCAGCUCGUGUCGUGAGAUGUUGGGUUAAGUCCCGCAACGAGCGCAACCCUCACCUCUUGUUGCCACCAGGUCAUGCUGGGCACUCUAGAGGAACUGCCCCGGUCAACGGGGAGGAAGGCGGGGAUGACGUCAAGUCAUCAUGCCCCUUACGUCCUGGGCUACACACGUGCUACAAUGGCCGGUACAAAGGGAUGCCACACCGCGAGGUAGAGCUAAACCCAAAAAGCCGGUCUAAGUUCAGAUUGGAGUCUGCAACUCGACUCCAUGAAGGAGGAAUCGCUAGUAAUCGCGUAUCAGCACGACGCGGUGAAUACGUUCCCGGGCCUUGUACACACCGCCCGUCACACCACGAAAGCCUGCUGUACUCGAAGUCGCUGAG